UACGUAGGGGGCAAGCGUUGUCCGGAUUUAUUGGGCGUAAAGAGCGUGUAGGCGGUUAGGUAGGUCCGUUGUGAAAACUCGAGGCUCAACCUCGAGACGCCGAUGGAAACCAUCUGACUAGAGUCCGGAAGAGGAGAGUGGAAUUCCUGGUGUAGCGGUGAAAUGCGCAGAUAUCAGGAAGAACACCCGUGGCUAAGGCGGCUCUCUAGUACGUGACUGACGCUGAGACGCGAAAGCGUGGGAGCGACAGG
rnacentral:rRNA from 1 species